CAGAGUUGCAAAACUCCCACAAACCAUCGCGAAUCUUACCCGUACGGUUGCCUCGGCGCUGGCGGUCCGGAAGGCCCUCGGGCCCCCCGGAUCCUCGGGUCUCCCGCUCGCGGGAGGCUGCCCGCCGGAGUGCCGAAAUCAAACUCUUGAUAUUUUAUGUCUCUCUGAGUAAACUUUUAAAUAAGUCA
rnacentral:misc_RNA from 1 species